rnacentral:rRNA from 1 species
GAUGAACGCUGGCGGCGUGCCUAAUACAUGCAAGUCGAGCGAACGGACGAGAAGCUUGCUUCUCUGAUGUUAGCGGCGGACGGGUGAGUAACACGUGGAUAACCUACCUAUAAGACUGGGAUAACUUCGGGAAACCGGAGCUAAUACCGGAUAAUAUUUUGAACCGCAUGGUUCAAAAGUGAAAGACGGUCUUGCUGUCACUUAUAGAUGGAUCCGCGCUGCAUUAGCUAGUUGGUAAGGUAACGGCUUACCAAGGCAACGAUGCAUAGCCGACCUGAGAGGGUGAUCGGCCACACUGGAACUGAGACACGGUCCAGACUCCUACGGGAGGCAGCAGUAGGGAAUCUUCCGCAAUGGGCGAAAGCCUGACGGAGCAACGCCGCGUGAGUGAUGACGGUCUUCGGAUCGUAAAACUCUGUUAUGAGGGAAGAACAUAUGUGUAAGUAACUGUGCACAUCUUGACGGUACCUAAUCAGAAAGCCACGGCUAACUACGUG